AUUGCCUCCGAAUAACCAGAAGGUUCAUUAACACGAUACCGUUUGGUUCAGACAGAGGCGAAGAUCAAUCCGAAUCAGUUUGAGGGAGAGGAAAAUUUUCCUUCCUUUCCUUUCCUAGAUAGAUUCGAACAUUU